rnacentral:rRNA from 1 species
UACGGAGGGGACUAGCGUUGUUCGGAAUUACUGGGCGUAAAGCGCACGUAGGCGGAUUUGUAAGUCAGGGGUGAAAUCCCGGGGCUCAACCCCGGAACUGCCUUUGAUACUGCGAAUCUCGAGUCCGGAAGAGGUGAGUGGAAUUCCUAGUGUAGAGGUGAAAUUCGUAGAUAUUAGGAAGAACACCAGUGGCGAAGGCGACUCACUGGACAUGUAUUGACGCUGAGGUGCGAAAGCGUGGGGAGCAAACAGG